AAUCAACGCUGGCGGCGCGCUUAACACAUGCAAGUCGAACGAGAAAGCAUCCUUCGGGGUGUGAGUACAGUGGCGCACGGGUGAGUAACACGUGGGUAAUCUGCCCUUCGGUGGGGAAUAACUCCGCGAAAGUGGAGCUAAUACCGCAUACGAUCUUCGGAUGAAAGGCUUUGGUCGCCGAAGGAGGAGCCCGCGGUCGAUUAGCUUGUUGGUGAGGUAACGGCUCACCAAGGCUUCGAUCGAUAGCCGGCCUGAGAGGGCACACGGCCACACUGGCACUGAGACACGGGCCAGACUCCUACGGGAGGCAGCAGUGAGGAAUCUUGCACAAUGGGGGAAACCCUGAUGCAGCGACGCCGCGUGAGUGAUGAAGCCUUUCGGGGUGUAAAGCUCUUUCAGUGGGAACGAUAAUGACGGUACCCACAGAAGAAGGUGCGGCUAACUACG
rnacentral:rRNA from 1 species